rnacentral:lncRNA from 14 species
AAUGAUGAUGAUGAUAAUGAUAAUGACAAUGAUAAUGAUGAUGAUGAUAAUGAUAAUGAUAAUGAUAAUGACAAUGAUAAUGACAAUGAUAAUGAUAAUGGUAAUGUUGAUGGUGUGGUGCAGCCAGGAGGCCCGCCCGUAACUCGGACGCAGGUCGGAGCCUUGUGCUCCCUGGAGCUUAUUUGGGAAUGUCUGGCCCUAGUCUUUGAGAGGCUCGGGGCUUUAUCCGCCAGUCCCCCGGCCUUUAGCUCUGAAGCUCCGGUACCUGGCUGUGGAGUCUCGUUCCUGUUGGUGCAGGGGGAAGGCCGAGCUCUGCGGCUCCCUGGGUGUGGACCAGCCUGUAAGCAGGUCCUGGGUCUGGGAGCCUUUGUGCUCCCUCAGCUGGCAGCCUGUGUGGUGUGACCGCCCCGCUAGUGGGGUGAGGGUGAAGGUGCCCCUCAGUCGGAGAGAAGGAGCCUCCGAAUGCCUUAAGGACCAGGGCCACCCUGUAAGUCAGGGCCCGGCCAUGAGUCCUGGGCGCUUUACAGUGCAGGCCACGGCUCGGGCCCCCUGUGAGCAGGGGUGCGCAGCCUCUGUGGCCGUUGCUUUGCAUGCCCAGCGGAUUUGCCCAGGGUGCCCGCCUGCGAGCCCGGCUCUAGCCCCGGCCAGAACUCUGCGGCGCAUCGAGUGCGAAGCUGUCAGAGAAGAGAGAAGAGGCGUCGUGUCAAGAGAAGAGAGAAGAGGCUGCGUGUCAAGAGAGAAGAGGCGGCGUGUCAAGAGAAGAGAGAAGAGGCGUCGUGUGGAACGGCGAGGCGAGGAGCGGCGUGGGGCAGAAGAGGGGGCACGAGAAAGGCACCCUGGGCAAAGGGACCCCCUGUGGGCACAGGGGGAGGUCACGUAAGAGCAUGAUGGCACCUUUGGGGUGCCGUGAGGAAUGUUGUGUGCUGGGCGACCUCCCUGUAAGCAGGGCUCAGGUCUUUGCUACUUUUGGUUUUGGCCUUUGGCCGUGUUGCUCCUUUGGCUGCCCGGAGAGCGUGGCAACCCUGUAAGGAGGGUGAGAGCCAGCGUCUCCGCACCCGAGGGGGAAAUGGAGCUCUCUGGACCCCCAGGCCACCCUGUAAGCAGGGGAGGGCCAUUUCCCUGCCCAACUUCUCUGCCCCAGCAGCUUUCUGCCUGCUGGUGGCCUACCCAGCGUGACCCCCUGUUGUCAGGGCGUGUCACAGCAUUUGCCCCUUGGCCUGUUGAAGUUCUCUGGCUUCCACACAGGCCUGGGCAUGGUCUGAGGCUUUCCUCUCUUGCUGGUGAGUAGGGUGAAACCCCAGACAUUGGCUGCACAGAGACCGUCUCCCUUUUUGGGACG